UACGGAGGGUGCAAGCGUUGUCCGGAUUUAUUGGGUUUAAAGGGUGCGUAGGUGGCCCGUUAAGUCCGGGGUGAAAGCCCACAGCUCAACAGUGGAACUGCCCUGGAAACUGGAGAACUUGAGUACAGACGAGGGCGGCGGAAUGGAUGGUGUAGCGGUGAAAUGCAUAGAUACCAUCCAGAACCCCGAUUGCGAAGGCAGCUGCCUAGACUGUAACUGACGCUGAGGCACGAAAGCGUGGGGAGCGAACAGG
rnacentral:rRNA from 1 species